rnacentral:rRNA from 1 species
UACGUAGGUGGCAAGCGUUGUCCGGAAUUAUUGGGCGUAAAGCGCGCGCAGGUGGUUCCUUAAGUCUGAUGUGAAAGCCCACGGCUCAACCGUGGAGGGUCAUUGGAAACUGGGGAACUUGAGUGCAGAAGAGGAUAGUGGAAUUCCAAGUGUAGCGGUGAAAUGCGUAGAGAUUUGGAGGAACACCAGUGGCGAAGGCGACUAUCUGGUCUGUAACUGACGCUGAGGAGCGAAAGCGUGGGGAGCGAACAGG